CUCAGGCCACCUGGUGGGGCAUCGUUCUGAGGGGAGGUCGGUAUUGUCUGUUUUGACUCUUGCUCUCAGCUGAGGAGUGUCCUUGGGGAUGUUAAAUUCUGGACCCACAUGGUUGCCCUGCUCAGGGGCUGAACAAGCUCCUGCGGUGCAGAACGGGGCCUCAGGGUGAGAAGCCACCGGAGGUGUGGAGCCAGCACUCACUGCCGCCAUCCUCCCCACAGGUGCAGGUGAGUUCAGCAGAGGGCAGGGCAGCACAGCCACAGCACCUGCUGCGGAGGCCACACGGGGCGUCAAAUGAGAGAGGAGAAUGGCUUUAAUAGUGGUGGUGGCAGUGGAUGUGGAAAGAAAAAGACAGAUUUGCUGUGUUUUUAGGAUGUAGGAGGUGAUAAACAAUGGUCAACCUCCCCUCCCAUCACACAGAUAUUUACUGCUGUGAUUUGGUUUCUUGGGAUGCAGACCGAGGCUGAGUUUGUCCUGUGAGCUGUUUGCAGAGAGCCCUUGGACUGACACGUGUGAGAAGGAGUGAGCAGGUGCAGAGGAGCAGGCAGAGGCGUCCGAUCACCAACCUCACAGGGGGUUCCGGAGCUCCACCUGCCCUUCAGAAUGGUCCUGAGUUGGGCCUAGAUGCUGGACCUCCAUUAACCCAAUGGUGCGGGCCAGCCUGGGAUGAGCUGUGUGACCUUGGGCCAGGCAGCUCUCUUCAGCAGAGGCUGCUGGUGUCACAGUGUCCACCACUUUAUUAUGUCUUCUGUAGGCUGCAUACUGUUGCAGGUGCUGGCAGAAUAGUCAGGUGAGGCCAAGGCAAGAAACAGACAAAUGUGUAACAUCAGGUGUGCAAACCAGAUGGCUGGACCAGGUGAAUGAAGGUGGAAGGGGCAAUGAUGGUGACUGGAAAGGCAAAGCAACCUGGCCGUGACAUCUCAGGAGCAGGCGGCCCUUUCCUGCAGUGGCUGCUCUGGGAGCUGCACCCUGUGCAUGGUUUCAUCUUUUGGUUACAAUUCACUGCCUCUCUGCAGGACAUGGGGCAGUCGCCUCUCUGAUGGGUUGGGGACGGCGGGCGCAGCUUCGGCGAGGGACCCGGGCCUCCUGGUCUCCCUGCUCAUCUGGCCGCUCCGGCUCUGGCAGGGAAACGCGCAGUACAGGGCAAUGUGCAACCUGGACCCCUGGCAAGAGACUUGCAGGGCUGGCAAGUGGAGCUGCGCCCUGGCCACCUGCUACGGAUUUAGCAUAGAAAAAGCCUCUCACGAUCAAGAAAACGUUUCCCUCGCUGCCCCUCCCCCUCCACCAAAACAAACGAAAAACUGACUCAGAGGGCCGUGAGCCUUGUUUCUGACGACCACUGGUGCCUUCUGAUGACUGCAGAAAUGAGAGGGCAGCAGGGCUGGAUGAAGAUCUUUUGGAAACCCUAGCGCUGAUACCAAUGAUGCCACAGUGUGGAAAUAAAACAUAACUCACCUUUUUUCUAUUUUUCUGUUUUUGUUAUCGGGGAUCAAACUCGAGUCCUUGAGCUUGCGGGGCAGGAGGCAGAACCACUGAACUAAAUCUCCACCCCAACAUAACUCUUUUUUUUUUAAUGUUAAAUUCUUUUUUUGGUAUAUUUUAGGUAUACAACACAAUUACAUUUCUUAUUGGGAAUUGUACCUGUUGUGCCCAGAUUUCGAGGUCCCCAAAGACCACCAAGGAGCCGAUUCCGAUGUAAACACACGAGGGUCCUUUAUUUAAGCUCGAGCAGGGACUCCCAACCAUCACUGCCACAGCGGGUCAAGAUUGAGAGCCCUGACUCCAAAUCAGCAGGGGUUUUUAUAGUAGUUACAGCAAGGUUCUAGAUUGGCAGUUAAACCUGAUUGGUUGUGCCUUGUGUACCCAAGCUGCAAACGGUUACACCUGGGACUUUGGGGUAGCUGUUGCCAGGGGACAGCUGAACACUUAUCACAAGCAGGUGGGCAAAGUACAUCUUGUGGUUUUAGGUCUCACAUUCCCCCCUUCACAUGUAACUCUAGAGGCCCAAUCAUGGGUCUUGGGGGGUUAAAUCUACUGGGACCUAAGCACCAUUAAUUGUACAGAGCUAACACGUUCUCCAAGGGUUAAGCAAGGGGCCCAGUAGAGAAGAGAUAAACAACACUCUUUACAGAGGGCAGCACAAAGUCUUUUCAUAAUUAUGACCGUCGACGACGCAGUCUGAGCUUGAGAGGAUUGUCACGGAUUUUGGACACCUGCCAUGAAGGGAUGUAAUCCUCUAGAACGGCGUGUGGAUCUGCGGGGCGGACGUGAGUGUAGUGUACCUAUGAGGCAAUCCCGUCGACCUUGAGAGCGGUGGGCGUGGUCAGGACAGUAACAUAGAGUCCUUUUCCACGAGGCUCAAGGUCCUUCCGUCGAUGUCUCCGGACAAAGACCCAGUAGCGAUGGGGCUCGGGAGGUGGUCCGGACUCGAACAGGGCCUUUAAUUUAGGCCAGAUGUCUUUGUGGACACACUGGAGGCUUUGUAAGGAAGACAACAGUUUUAAUGGGAGGGGGCACCCGAAACAUGAUUUCAAAGGGAGUUAGUCCUAUCUUAUAGGGAGAAUUGCGUACCCCAUAGAGGGCAAAGGGAAGGAGAAUCACCCAGUCACCGCCAGUCUCUAAGGUUAAUUUAGUUAAGGUCUCUUUUAGAGCUCUGUUCAUUUUUUCUACCUGCCCUGAACUCUGGGGUCUGUAAGCACAAUGUAAUUUCCAAUUUGCCCCCAGUACCUGUGCUAAACCUUGACUCACUUUGGAAAUGAAGGCAGGUCCAUUGUCUGACCCUAACAUUACUGGGAAACCAUCUUGGCAAGAUGUCUUCUAGUAACUUUUUAGCCACAAUCUGUGCCAUCUCAUGUUUGGUGGGAAAGGCCUCUGUCCAUCCUGAGAAAGUGUCUACAAAAACUAGCAGGUACCUGUAACCAUACCUUCCAGGUUUUACCUCAGUAAAGUCCAAUUCCUAGUAUACGCCGGGUCGGUUUCCUCUCAAUCUGUUGCCUGGGUUGGCUUUAUUGUGAGUAGCAUUUGUCAAUUGGCAGGCUUUGCAGGUGGCAACGAUAUGCUCAAUUUCAGGAGGUCUUGCAUUUUUCGAGUGCCCAUGUGGGUGGCCCGGUGCAUUUUGGAGAGAACUUGUUCUCCCAGUGCUUCAGGCAGGAUGACUCUACAGUCAGAUGAUCUCCACCAUCUUUUUAGGCAUUGGGCCAUGGGCAGUUGUUUAAGUCUGCCUCGGUAUACUGGGGAGUUUCUGGUAAGGCAGCACCCCCUGUAUCAGGCAGCUGAAUGGUCAGGGUCAGAUCAGCUUCUAGGGCUAU
rnacentral:lncRNA from 1 species